CUUUGCCUUAUAUUUUCUACAAUUUUUCUAUAGUAGUUUCAAGUGUUGGGUGUUACAUUUAGGUCUUUAAUCCAUAUGGAGUUGAA